ensembl:snRNA U6 U6 spliceosomal RNA
GUGCUCGCUUCGGCAGCACAUACACUAAAAUUGGAAUGAUACGGAGAUUAGCGUGGCCUCUGUGCAAGGAAGACACGCAAAUUCGUGAAGCGUUCCUUAUUUUU